GAUGAACGCUGGCGGCGUGCCUCAUACAUGCAAGUCGAGCGAACGGACGAGAAGCUUGCUUCUCUGAUGUUAGCGGCGGACGGGUGAGUAACACGUGGAUAACCUACCUAUAAGACUGGGAUAACUUCGGGAAACCGGAGCUAAUACCGGAUAAUAUUUUGAACCGCAUGGUUCAAAAGUAAAAGACGGUCUUGCUGUCACUUAUAGAUGGAUCCGCGCUGCAUUAGCUAGUUGGUAAGGUAACGGCUUACCAAGGCAACGAUGCAUAGCCGACCUGAGAGGGUGAUCGGCCACACUGGAACUGAGACACGGUCCAGACUCCUACGGGAGGCAGCAGUAGGGAAUCUUCCGCAAUGGGCGAAAGCCUGACGGAGCAACGCCGCGUGAGUGAUGAAGGUCUUCGGAUCGUAAAACUCUGUUAUUAGGGAAGAACAUAUGUGUAAGUAACUGUGCACAUCUUGACGGUACCUAAUCAGAAAGCCACGGCUAACUACGUGCCAGCAGCCGCGGUAAUACGUAGGUGGCAAGCGUUAUCCGGAAUUAUUGGGCGUAAAGCGCGCGUAGGCGGUUUUUUAAGUCUGAUGUGAAAGCCCACGGCUCAACCGUGGAGGGUCAUUGGAAACUGGAAAACUUGAGUGCAGAAGAGGAAAGUGGAAUUCCAUGUGUAGCGGUGAAAUGCGCAGAGAUAUGGAGGAACACCAGUGGCGAAGGCGACUUUCUGGUCUGUAACUGACGCUGAUGUGCGAAAGCGUGGGGAUCAAACAGGAUUAGAUACCCUGGUAGUCCACGCCGUAAACGAUGAGUGCUAAGUGUUAGGGGGUUUCCGCCCCUUAGUGCUGCAGCUAACGCAUUAAGCAC
rnacentral:rRNA from 1 species